rnacentral:rRNA from 1 species
UUCCAGACUCCUACGGGAGGCAGCAGUGGGGAAUAUUGCACAAUGGGGGAAACCCUGAUGCAGCGACGCCGCGUGAGCGAUGAAGUAUUUCGGUAUGUAAAGCUCUAUCAGCAGGGAAGAAAAUGACGGUACCUGACUAAGAAGCCCCGGCUAACUACGUGCCAGCAGCCGCGGUAAUACGUAGGGGGCAAGCGUUAUCCGGAUUUACUGGGUGUAAAGGGAGCGUAGACGGCAGUGCAAGUCCGGAGUGAAAGCCCGGGGCUCAACCCUGGGACUGCUCUGGAAACUGUAAAGCUGGAGUGCGAGAGGGGCAGGCGGAAUUCCUAGUGUAGCGGUGAAAUGCGUAGAUAUUAGGAGGAACACCAGUGGCGAAGGCGGCUUACUGGACUGUAACUGACGUUGAGGCUCGAAAGCGUGGGGAGCAAACAGGAUUAGAUACCCCGGUAUC